rnacentral:tRNA from 1 species
UCCCUGGUGGCUCAGCUGGUAAAGCAUCUGCCUGCAAUGCGGGAGACCUGGGUUUGAUCCCUGGGUUGGGAA